GACGAACGCUGGCGGCACGCCUAACACAUGCAAGUCGAACGGACUUACAAGAGCUUGCUUUUUUAAGUUAGUGGCGGACGGGUGAGUAACACGUGAGCAACCUGCCUCUGAGAGGGGGAUAGCUUCUGGAAACGGAUGGUAAUACCCCAUAAAAUAUAAAUAUCGCAUGAUAGAUAUAUCAAAGAAAUUCGCUCAGAGAUGGGCUCGCGUCUGAUUAGAUAGUUGGUGAGGUAACGGCUCACCAAGUCGACGAUCAGUAGCCGGACUGAGAGGUUGAACGGCCACAUUGGGACUGAGACACGGCCCAGACUCCUACGGGAGGCAGCAGUGGGGAAUAUUGCACAAUGGAGGGAACUCUGAUGCAGCGAUGCCGCGUGGAGGAAGAAGGUUUUCGGAUUGUAAACUCCUUUUAUCAGGGACGAUAAUGACGGUACCUGAAGAAAAAGCUCCGGCUAACUACGU
rnacentral:rRNA from 1 species